AUUGAACGCUGGCGGAAUGCUUUACACAUGCAAGUCGAACGGUAGAGGGGGCAACCCCUCGAGAGUGGCGAACGGGUGAGUAAUAUAUCGGAACGUGCCCAGUCGUGGGGGAUAACGUAGCGAAAGUUACGCUAAUACCGCAUACGAUCUAAGGAUGAAAGCGGGGGAUCGCAAGACCUCGCGCGAUUGGAGCGGCCGAUAUCAGAUUAGGUAGUUGGUGGGGUAAAGGCUCACCAAGCAAACGAUCUGUAGCUGGUCUGAGAGGACGACCAGCCACACUGGAACUGAGACACGGUCCAGACUCCUACGGGAGGCAGCAGUGGGGAAUUUUGGACAAUGGACGCAAGUCUGAUCCAGCCAUUCCGCGUGCAGGAUGAAGGCCCUCGGGUUGUAAACUGCUUUUGUACGGAACGAAAAGGUCUCUCUUAAUACGGGGGGCUCAUGACGGUACCGUAGAAUAAGCACCGGCUAACUACGUGCCAGCAGCCGCCGUAA
rnacentral:rRNA from 1 species